rnacentral:lncRNA from 1 species
GCGCGGGCUUGAGACCUGCUGAGCAGCGGGACCUGGCGGCUGGCGUUCUGGUGUGGGGCCGAGAACAGACCCUUCUUCUGAAAAGCCACUGGCCCCUUGUUCUAUGAAGUCGAUUUCUCAUUGUCUUCACCAAUCUUCUGAACCCGUGAAUACUUUUUGCAUGAUGAUUUGAAGCAGCCAGGAGGCCAAGACAGCGGCCAGGAGAAGCAGCAAGGAAUUGAGCCUUGUACAUUUUUCUCAAAAAAAUAAAAGAUGGGGAACCACCAUGCUCGAGAUAAGAAAUUAGUCUGUGAA